UAAUAAAUCUUAUCCCUUCAUGUAAUGAGUACUUUCUUAAUGUUUUUUUUUGGUUUUUGAUUAAAACUGUUGGAUAAAAACUUUAAAGGGAAAUUAUUCCCAAUAACCCAAAAAACUAUAAUUCACUAAAUAAUCAAAACCCUACCCUCUCUCUUCCUAUCUCUCUCUACCAUCUUAUUACAAAUCUAAUUUUCCUUUUUCUUUUGUUUAUUUCACAAAUAAACCCAACUUUAAUGGAGAUGAAAAGACAUGAACGGGUAAUGAAAAAUAAGUAAAAUUAUUCAAAUGAGCAUCUGUUUCAAGUAAUCGUUAUUUUGUCUUUAACGGAUUAUUCAAGUAAUCUUAAAAAAAAAAAGUCCAUGUAUUCAAAAAUUUACUCAUCUAAUUAGUUAAUCAUAGUGUUUGAUCAAACACAUUUUAGUACAAAAUUUUAUUUUGCACACUUAGUUACUUUAAAACGUUAUAUACUUUAAUUAAUUAUCCUAAAAUAAUUUUAUCAUGAUUUUUAGUUUAAACAGAUAGAGAAAUAUAUAUGCUUCAUUUUAGAGACACUCGAAUGUCCAUUAGUUAAGAAAACUGAAUAUAGUUUUAGAUA